UACGGGGGGGGCAAGCGUUGUUCGGAAUUACUGGGCGUAAAGGGCGCGUAGGCGGGAUGGCAAGUCGGUCGUGAAAUCCCUCGGCUCAACCGAGGAACGUCGAUCGAUACUGCUGUUCUUGAGGAUUGCAGAGGAGACUGGAAUUCCCGGUGUAGCGGUGAAAUGCGUAGAGAUCAGGAAGAACACCCGUGGCGAAGGCGGCCCACUGGGCCGGUACUGACGCUGAGGCGCGAAGGCGUGGGGAGCGAACGGG
rnacentral:rRNA from 1 species